rnacentral:lncRNA from 1 species
GACCCCAUUUUGAAGGUAACUCUCGGUCUUAAGGAGGAGAAUUGCCGAGACACACUUAUGCUCUCAUUACAAACACUUCAUACUUUUGGUUUUAGAACUUUUCUCUCGUAGGGUUUCAUGUAUGAACAUGCCUUAAGGGAGCUUGCUUGGUGUUGUCGGUUUGGAGCCAUUUCAAUGAACAAGAUGUAGAUUUUCUUUGUCUCUUAACUCAC